rnacentral:rRNA from 1 species
CCUACGGGAGGCAGCAGUAGGGAAUAUUGCUCAAUGGGGGAAACCCUGAAGCAGCAACGCCGCGUGGAGGAUGAAGGUUUUCGGAUUUUAAACUCCUUUUGUUAGAGAAGAUAAUGACGGUAUCUAACGAAUAAGCACCGGCUAACUCCGUGCCAGCAGCCGCGGUAAUACGGAGGGUGCAAGCGUUACUCGGAAUCACUGGGCGUAAAGAGCGCAUAGGCGGGAUAGCAAGUCAGAUGUGAAAUCCUAUGGCUUAACCAUAGAACUGCAUUUGAAACUGUUAUUCUAGAGUAUGGGAGAGGUAGGUGGAAUGCUUGGUGUAGGGGUAAAAUCCGUAGAGAUCAAGCGGAAUACUCAUUGCGAAGGCGACCUGCUAGAACAUAACUGACGCUGAUGCGCGAAAGCGUGGGGAGCAAACAGGAUUAGAUACCCCAGUAGUC